rnacentral:lncRNA from 1 species
UUUUUUUUGGUAUGCUUCGGAACUAUUUGUUGGCUGAAAAACUAGACGGCCUCGUACAAUAAAGAUGUCGCUACCCAUCUUAAUAAAUUUGUUGAACUUGGUCACAGGCAAAAAUCUAAAGAUACGGGCAAUGAUACUAUAAGAGUAAGUCUAUUUCCCUUCUCCUUAAGAAAUAGCAUCGAUUCUUGAUCAAAAUGCAAAGACGCUUUUAUUGAAACGUAUUAACCUUCUGUGACAUUAUUUACUUGAGAAAUUUUUAUCNNNNNNNNNNNNNNNNNUAAUAAUAAUAAUAAAGAGGCUAUUGCUUCCGUCAGAAAACCCACCGCUGCCGUUUUUCAAAAAAGCCACUGUCUUUUAGGUAAUUAAACCCGCGGUACCUUUUUAUGUGUUACGAACAGGAAAACGUUUAAUUUUUGCAGAGAGCCCCUAUGGCAUUGGAUAAGAGAAACGCAUCUGGGCUGACAAAAAACACAUGAGAGGGAUAUCGCUUCUGCCCUCAUAAUCCCACAUCGAUACUUCACAGAUAAUUUCAUCACUUUAUAUACAUGCGCCUUGGUGAUUUUACAAGAGGCAACGGAAAUCAACAGAGGAACAAAUUCGAGAAGAAGAAAUUGGAAUGACACGAACAGAGGUGGAGCCGCGAGACAGAGGGGGUUAGGGGCGAAGGAAAGGGGUUGGCACCGGCGAUGCAUAGGUGGAGGUGGGGGCGUCGGGGUUAGAGGAUUCAGGCAACCGGCGGGGUAAGGCUUGCCGGAGACGCAAGAAGCACCAUGGGGGCGGAAGAGAAAAGAGAGGAGACCGGGGGUAGGAGUACCGGCUGGCGCUCGGGCACUGGAGCUGGCCCCGUCACCCCCAGUCUCCAGCAACCCUCCACAAUGGCCCCGUAGGCCGACCUCGCAGAAGCACACCAUGGGAGGCGGUCACGAGGUGCGGAGGUGGGAGGCGGUGGAGGAGCAGAGGAGGGAAGUGUGGGCGCCAUUGGAAGGGGUAGUCAGGGAGAUUGGGGAUCCACUGGGGCUCUCUCCCCUAGCGACACGGGGUGGAGGAGAGGAGGGGGGCUGGGGAUCGGGCUAGGUUAGGGGAUUUAGGAAUGGGUAAGGCUCGGCCUUGGCAGGCCUAAUGGGUUGUGCACUACUACUCUCUCUCUUUCCUUUAAUUUCUUUCUCUAAAUUCUUUAAUUAAAAAUGUGUGGUAUUAUUUUUUCCCGUUGCAACACACGGGUCCUUUUGCUAUAAUAAUAAAGAGGCUAUUGCUUCCGUCAGAAAACCCACCGCUGCCGUUUUUCAAAAAAGCCACUGUCUUUUAGGUAAUUAAACCCGCGGUACCUUUUUAUGUGUUACGAACAGGAAAACGUUUAAUUUUUGCAGAGAGCCCCUAUGGCAUUGGAUAAGAGAAACGCAUCUGGGCUGACAAAAAACACAUGAGAGGGAUAUCGCUUCUGCCCNNNNNNNNNNNNNNNNNNNNNNNNNNNNNNNNNNNNNNNNNNNNNNNNNNNNNNNNNNNNNNNNNNNNNNNNNNNNNNNNNNNNNNNNNNNNNNNNNNNNCCUCUAGGGCAUAAUUCCAACAGUCUCCCACUUGCACUAGAGUCAAUAAUCUAGCCCUCACAUCAUCAUGCGAAUUACAUUGUAAUAAAUCUAACACCCAUACAGUUCUGGUGUUGAUCAUGCUUUUGCCGUGGAAGAGGUUUAGUCAGCGGGUCAGCUACAUUCAGAUCCGUGUGCACUUUGCAUAUAUUUACGUCCUCUACUUCGACGUAGUCGCGGAUGAGGUUGAAGCGUCGUUUGAUGUGUCUGGACUUCUUGUGAAACCGUGGUUCCUUUGCUAAGGCAAUGGCACUUCUGUUGUCACAGAACAAGGUUAUUGGAUUCAGUGCGCUUGGCACCACUCCAAGAUCCGUCAUGAACUACUUCAUCCAGACACCCUCCUUAGCCGCCUCUGAGGCAGCCAUGUACUCCGCUUCACAUGUAGAAUCUGCUACGACGCUUUGCUUAGAAGUGCACCAGCUUACCGCACCCCCAUUAAGAAUAAAUACGUAUCCGGUUUGCGACUUAGAGUCGUCCGGAUCUAUAUCAAAGCUUGCAUCGACGUAACCUUUUACGGCGAGCUCUUCGUCACCUCCAUACACGAGAAACAUCUCCUUAGUCCUUUUCAGGUACUUCAGGAUAUUCUUGACCGUUGUCUAGUGAUCCACUCCUGGAUUACUCUGGAACCUACCUGCCAUACUUAUGGCCAGGCUAACGUCCGGUCUAGUGCACAACAUUGCAUACAUGAUAGAACCUAUGGCUGAAGCAUAGGGGACGGAGCACAUAUGUUCUCUAUCUUCAUCAGUUGCUGGGCACUGAGUCUUACUCAAUCUCGUACCUUGUAAAACUGGCAAGAACCCCUUCUUGGACUGUUCCAUUUUGAACCUCUUCAAAACUUUAUCAAGGUAUGUGCUUUGUGAAAGUCCUAUCAGGCGUUUUGAUCUAUCCCUAUAGAUCUUAAUGCCUAGAAUGUAAGCAGCUUCUCCUAGGUCCUUCAUAUAGAAACUUUUAUUCAAGUAAUCCUUUAUGCUCUCCAAAAACUCUACGUUGUUUCCAAUUAGCAAUAUGUCAUCCAUAUAAUAUUAGAAACGCCACAGAGCUCCCACUCACUUUCUUGUAAAUACAAGAUUCUCCAACCACUUGUAUAAACCCAAAUGCUUUGAUCACCUCAUCAAAGCAUUUGUUCCAACUCCGAGAUGCUUGCACCAGUCCAUAAAUGGAUCGCUGGAGCUUGCACAUCUUGUUAGCAUUCUUAGGAUCGACAAAACCUUCGGGUUGCAUCAUAUACAAUUCUUCCUUAAGGAAACCGUUAAGGAACGCCGUUUUGACAUCCAUCUGCCAGAUUUCAUAAUCGAAAAAUGCAGCUAUUGCUAACAUGAUUCUGACGGACUUAAGCAUCGCUACAGGUGAGAAUGUCUCAUCGUAGUCAACUCCUUAAACUUGUGAAAAACCAUUUACCACAAGUCGAGCUUUAUAAACGGUCACAUUGCCGUCAGCGUCUGUCUUCCUCUUAAAGAUCCGUUUGUUCUGAAUAGCCUUGCGGCCCUCAGGCAGUACCUCCAAAGUCCACACUUUGUUCUCAUACAUGGAUCCUAUCUCGGACUUCAUGGCUUCUAGCCAUUUGUUGGAAUCUGGGCCCACCAUUGCUUCUUCAUAAUUUGCAGGUUCAUUGUUGUCCAACAACAUGAUUGAUAAGACGGGAUUACCGUACCACUCUGGAGCAGCACGUGGUCACGUCGACCUGCGUGGUUCGACAGAAACUUGAACCGGAGUUUCAUGAUCAUCAUCAUUAACUUCCUCCUCAACCGGCGUCGCAAUGACAGAGGUUUCCCCUUGCCCUGCGCCACCAUCCAGAGGGAUGAGAGGUUCGACAACCUCGUCAAGUUCUAUCUUCCUCCCACUCAAUUCUCUCGAGAGAAACUCCUUCUCGAAAAAAGCUCCGUUUUUAGCAACAAACACUUUGCCCUCGGAUUUGAGAUAGAAGGUGUACCCAACUGUCUCUUUUGGGUAACCUAUGAAGAUGCACUUUUCCGCUUUGGGUUCCAGCUUUUCAGGCUGAAGCUUUUUGACAUAAGCAUCACAUCCCCAAACUUUAAGAAACGACAACUUUGGCCUUUUGCCAUUCCACAGUUCGUAUGGUGUCGUCUCAACGGAUUUCGAUGGUGCCCUACUUAAAGUGAAUGCAGCUGUUUCUAAUGCAUAACCCCAAAACGAUAACGGCAAAUCGGUAAGAGACAUCAUAGAUCGCACCAUCUCUAAUAAAGUACGAUUACGAUGUUCGGACACACCAUUACGCUGUGGUGUUCCAGGCGGUGUCAACUGUGAAACAAUUCCACAUUGUCUUAAGUGAGCACCAAACUCGAAACUCAGAUAUUCACCCCCACGAUCAGACCCUAGGAACUUGAUCUUCUUGUUACGAUGAUUUUCAACUUCACUCUAAAAUUGCUUGAACUUUUCAAAUGUUUCAGACUUGUGCUUCAUUAAGUAGACAUAACCAUAUCUACUCAAAUCGUCAGUGAAGGUGAGAAAAUAACGAUAUCCGCCGCGUGCCUCCACGCUCAUCGGACCACACACAUCGGUAUGUAUGAUUUCCAACAAGUCACUUGCACGCUCCAUUGUUCCGGAGAACGGAGUCUUAGUCAUCUUGCCCAUGAGGCAUGGUUCGCACGUGUCAAGUGAAUCAAAGUCAAGUGACUCCAAAAGUCCAUCGGCAUGGAGUUUCUUCAUGCGCUUUACACCAAUAUGACCUAAGCGGCAGUGCCACAAAAAUAUGGCGCUAUCAUUGUUAACUCUAACUCUUUUGGUCUCAAUGUUAUGUAUGUGUGUAUCGCUAUCAAGAUUCAAUAUGAACAAUCCUCUCACAUUGGGUGCAUGACCAUAAAAGAUGUUACUCAUAGAAAUAGAACAACCAUUAUUCUGUGACUUAAAAGAGUAACCGUCUCGCAAUAAACAAGAUCGAGAUAUAAUGUUCAUGCUCAACGCAGGCACUAAAUAACAAUGAUUCAAGUUCAUAACUAAUCCUGAUGGUAACUGAAGUGAAACUGUGCCGAUGGCGAUUGCAUCAACCUUGGAACCAUUUCCUACGCGCAUCGUCACUUCAUCUUUCGCCAGCCUUCGUCUAUUCCGCGGUUCCUGUUUCGAGUUACAAAUAUGAGCAACAGAACCACUAUCGAAUACCCAGGCACUACUACGAGAGCCGGUUAAGUACACAUCAAUAACAUGUAUAUCAAAUAUACCUGAUUUUUUCUUUGGCCGCCUUCUUAUCUGCGAGAUACUUGGGGCAAUUGCGCUUCCAGUGACCCAUACCCUUGCAAUAGUAACACUCUGUUUCAGGCUUAGGUCCAGCUUUGGGUUUCUUCGUUGGAUUGGCAACAGGCUUGCCGCUCUUCUUUGAAUUACCCUUCUUGCCUUUGCUGUUUCUCUUGAAACUAGUGGUCUUAUUCACCAUCAACACUUGAUGCUCUUUACGGAGUUCAGACUCUGCUACUUUCAGCAUCGCAAACAACUCGCCGGGUGACUUGUUCAUCCCUUGCAUGUUGUAGUUCAACACAAAGCCUUUAUAGCUUGGCGGCAGUGAUUGAAGGAUUCUGUCAGUGAUAGCCUCUUGCGGGAGUUCAAUCCCCAGCUCAGCUAGACGGUUUGAGUACCCAGACAUUUUGAGCACAUGUUCACUGACAAACAAGUUCUCCUCCAUCUUGCAGGCAUAGAAUUUAUCGGAGGUCUCAUACCUCUCGAUCCGGGUGUUCUUCUGAAAGAUAAACUUUAACUCCUGGAACAUCUCAAAUGCUCCAUGACGCUCAAAGCGACGUUGAAGUCCCGGUUCUAAGCCAUACAAGACUGCACAUUGAACUACUGAGUAGUCCUCCUUACGUGCUAACAAAGCGUUCUUAACAUCCUGAUCAGCCGUAGCGGGUGGUUCAUCUCCUAGCGCAGCAUUAAGGACAUAAUCCUUCUUCCCAGCUUGUAAGAUUAGCUUAAGAUUACGAGCCCAGUCUACAAAGUUGCUUCCAUCAUCUUUCAACUUAGCUUUCUCUAGGAACGUAUUAAAAUUCAGGGUGACUGUCGCGUGAGCCAUGAUCUACAACACAAAUAUAUUCAAAGUGGACUUAGACUAUGUUCAAGAUAAUUAGAGUUUAACUUAAUCAAAUUAUUCGCUAAACUCCCACUCAAAAAGUACAUCUCUCUUGUCAUUUGAGUGGUUCGUGAUCCACUUACACUAGCUCAAGUCCGAUCAUCACGUGAGUUGAGUAUAGUUUCAGUGGUAAGCAUCCCUAUGCUAAUCAUAUCAUCUAUAUGAUUCAUGAUCGACCUUUCGGUUUCAUGUGUUCCGAGGCCAUGUCUGCACAUGCUAGGCUCGUCAAGCUUAACCCGAGUGUUCCGCGUGCGCAACUGUUUUGCACCCGUUGUAUGUGAAUCUAUCACACCCGAUCAUCACGUGGUGUCUCGAAACGACGAACUGUAGCAACGGUGCACAGUCGGGGAGAACACAAUUUCGUCUUGAAAUUUUAGUGAGAGAUCACCUGAUAAUGCUACCGUCGUUCUAAGCAAAUUAAGGUGCAUAAAAGGAUUAACAUCACAUGCAAUUCAUAAGUGACAUGAUAUGGCCAUCAUCACGUGCUUCUUGAUCUCCAUCACCAAAGCACCGGCACGAUCUUCUUGUCACCGGCGCCACACCAUGAUCUCCAUCAACGUGUGGCCAUCGGGGUUGUCGUGCUACUCAUGCUAUUACUACUAAAGCUACAUCCUAGCAAAAUAGUAAACGCAUCUGCAAGCACAAACAUUAGUAUAAAGACAACCCUAUGGCUCCUGCCGGUUGCCGUACCAUCCCGGUACAUUCCCAAUAACUCCGAAAACCUUCCGGUAAUCAAAUGAGGUCAUCCUAUAUAUCAAUCUUCGUUUCCGGACCAUUCCGGAAACCCUCAUGACGUCCGUGAUCUCAUCCGGGACUCCAAACAACAUUCGGUAACCAACCAUAUAACUCAAAUACGCAUAAAACAACGUCGAACCUUAAGUGUGCAGACCCUGCGGGUUCGAGAACUAUGUAGACAUGACCCGAGAGACUCCUCGGUCAAUAUCCAAUAGCGGGACCUGGAUGCCCAUAUUGGAUCCUACAUAUUCUACGAAGAUCUUAUCGUUUGAACCUCAGUGCCAAGGAUUCAUAUAAUCCCGUAUGUCAUUCCCUUUGUCCUUCGGUAUGUUACUUGCCCGAGAUUCGAUCGUCAGUAUCCGCAUACCUAUUUCAAUCUCGUUUACCGGCAAGUCUCUUUACUCGUUCCGUAAUACAAGAUCCCGCAACUUACACUAAGUUACAUUGCUUGCAAGGCUUGUGUGUGAUGUUGUAUUACCGAGUGGGCCCCGAGAUACCUCUCCGUCACACGGAGUGACAAAUCCCAGUCUUGAUCCAUACUAACUCAACGAACACCUUGGGAGAUACCUGUAGAGCAUCUUUAUAGUCACCCAGUUACGUUGCGACGUUUGAUACACACAAAGUAUUCCUCCGGUGUUAGUGAGUUAUAUGAUCUCAUGGUCAUAGGAACAAAUACUUGACACGCAGAAAAUAGUAGCAACAAAAAGACACGAUCAACAUGCUACGUCUAUUAGUUUGGGUCUAGUCCAUCACGUGAUUCUCCUAAUGACGUGAUCCAGUUAUCAAGCAACAACACCUUGUUCAUAAUCAGAAGACACUGACUAUCUUUGAUCAACUGGCUAGCCAACUAGAGGCUUGCUAGGGACAGUGUUUUGUCUAUGUAUCCACACAUGUAAAUGAGUCUUCAUUCAAUACAAUUAUAGCAUGGAUAAUAAACGAUUAUCUUGAUACAGGAAUUAUAAUAAUAACUAUAUUUAUUAUUGCCUCUAGGGCAUAAUUCCAACACGAUCUUGUGUGAGUCCAUGGUGGUUUCGUGAGCCCCUUGGGAGCUCCUAUUCCAUGUUGAAACCAUGUAUUUGUUGUUAUAACUCUGGCAUCUGGCCCAUGAUACUCCUGCUUAGUGUGGUUAUGUGCUUCGCUCACUCGCUUAGUUUAUUUUUUCAUCGUUCCCUUUGUACCUAAGAAAAAAAAACAUAUUUUUUUAUUUUGAAAAGUUCAUCAAAUCGAGAGAUAUUCAUGAAUUUUAAGAUUGGUGCGAAUUAAAAAAAACAUAAAUGUGAAUAAAUUUCCACAUCUUAAAAAAAUGCUCAUCGCAUUUAAAAAGAUUCACAUAGUUUUUAAUUGUUUUUUAACUUUAAAAAUAUGCAUAAAUUUUAAAAACAUUGAUGAAUUUGUAAAAUAAAAAUUCAUGUCUUUUAAAAAUGUUCAUGAUUCUUUUAAACACUCAUGAAUUAAAAUGUGAAAAAGAAAUAAAAAAGAGAAGGCUUUUUUAUAAAAAAUUAAAAGAGAGGAAAAACAAGAACUAAAAGAGUAUUAAAACAGGUAGAAAAAAGAAGGAAAAAUUAAAGAAAACAGUCAAGGCCUUCUAAAACCUUGCUAAAACCACGAACGCCAACAAAGGCAUUAUGGUUAUAUAAAUGUCCAUUACUCUCAAGCAACAACACACACCUUCCAAAUGAAGCCAUAGCGACCUCGCAGCCAUCGAUGCACGAGAAAGAUCCAAAUCGAAGGACCUUCGUAUCCUACUUGUAGAUAUUAGUUAGAUUUCAGGUUUCCAUGAAAUUUCUGAAAAAAAAGAAACGGGCAAAAGAUUUGUCGCAAGGAGGGGAAAUGAUGUUUAUGUUACAAGCCUCCAAGCUAUAAAUACGUUACUCUCCUGGAACGAUGGUCCCUAACUUUUUGGCGCUUGCGGUGAUCCAAAGCCUAGCUUCGAUCCUGAUGUUGUUGAACGAGAUUGUCGACGGAGAGGACCUGUUGCGGAAGACCUUCGCGUUGCGUCCAUUCCAGAUAACCCAAGCUAUUAGCAUGGUAAGGGAGGCCCGGGCCUUGCGAUAUGGCACUGUGAUGUUGGAGCGGUUGAGCCACCAGUCUUUGACCGAUGGCAUGGCAAAAAUGUGGUCUGCUCGUUAUAUGUAUGUGGGUUACUUGGGGGCAAAGAUGGGUGUGUGCUGAUCCGAAGGCGCAGAAGCAUGUCAUAAGGCUGACAACAAUCUCGCAACGAGAGGCUCAUAUAACAAGCAUUGCUGCAUCGCCGAAUGAAGAUAACAAAUAAAUAANNNNNNNNNNNNNNNNNNNNNNNNNNNNNNNNNNNNNNNNNNNNNNNNNNNNNNNNNNNNNNNNNNNNNNNNNNNNNNNNNCCCGCCGCUCCAGAGCCAGGCCAAGUCUCCCCCCAACCUCCCAGAACCCGAAUUGUUAAACCGUGCAUCCAUCCAUCCAUUCAAUUGUUAAUUUGUUAAUCCUGAAUGGUUAGAAUUUAUAAGGAAACUAAAACGCGAUGCGCUAAAGUAUGCUAAUGCUGGAAUUUCCAAUCACAGAAUUGAUAAUCAACUUCAAUGUCGAGUUAGGCUCUCAAGCCUGAACUCAAAAGCAACCGCUGUGGCCGGCGUUGAUAUUUUAGGAUUACCUUCCAUGGUCCACUCCAAAUGUCAAGUUAACGUCCAAAGAACAGCGAGCAACUCUGACUUGUUUUCAAAUGAUUUACCGAGUGAUGGAUCGUUCGAUCGUUUACCCGUCCAUCGUGUGCAGCGUACGUUGUGCUAGAACUACAAGCAAGCAAGCACGCAUGACCGUCAGACGAUGCUGACAGAGAGAGAGGGAGAUCCAUCGAUCUGCAGAUUGACAGAUCCAGCGACUCGAUCCUCUCCCUGCAGAUUGAAAUCCAACUCAUCAUCAUGUCUUCUUCUUUAUCCUCUUAAUUAAUUACGUAUCACUCUCGAAGGGAGAUGGCCAGAUGCGUCCCCCCUUGCUUGAACCACUCGUAAUCGAACAAGGGAAAAAAGAUAAACCUCUCAACUGUUCGUGGCGUCCGACUCAGCAGAGAGAGAGAGAGAGGUCGUUGCUGCCGGACUCAACUUUCUUAAGGCCGGGCGAGGCCGUCGCCGUCGCCCGACCGUCCACAUACUCUAAGCGGCGCACGCAUCAAGCCCGCCGGCCGGCCGGUCCGGAUGCGUGCGACCUCUAGCUAGCUAGCUAGCUUAGAUCAAACCCUGAUUUGUUUGCUUUGUUUUUCCCAUCUCUUUUGUCCAUGGCGAUGGACGCCAAGCUAGCUGUCUGGCUGCCUCCCGCUGCCACGUCGCCAUUCUUCCAUCNNNNNNNNNNNNNNNNNNNNUAAACUAAACUAAACUAAGCUAAGCUAAGCAUGGUGCUGGCUAGCUGUGGCCACAAGUUGAGCAAGCCUUGCUGAAUGAAUGCUGCUGUCUGUCCUAACCCCUGAGCUGCAGCACACUAAUCAUUUGCUUGUCCUUUUCCAUGCAUCACCCACCAUCAACUUACCACCUCCUCCGAUCAUAUACCCACACCGUCUCCUCUCCAUUGAUCCCACCCCACCCCACCCCCUCUACCCCUCUCUCUCNNNNNNNNNNNNNNNNNNNNNNNNNNNNNNNNNNNNNNNNNNNNNNNNNNNNNNNNNNNNNNNNNNNNNNNNNNNNNNNNNNNNNNNNNNNNNNNNNNNNAUGAUGCCACUGUUGGGGAACGUCGCAUGGCAAACAAAAAAUUUCCUACGCGCACGAAGACCUAUCAUGGUGAUGUCCANNNNNNNNNNUGAACCGUCCCGCGAUCAGUACCACGAUCUAGUGCCGAACGGACGGCACCUCCGCGUUCAGCACACGUACAGCUCGACGAUGNNNNNNNNNNACGCCCCGCGAACAGUCCCGCGAUCAGUCCCACGAUCUAGUGCCGAACGGACGGCACCUCCGCGUUCAACACACGUACAACUCGACGAUGAUAUCGGCCUUCUUGAUCCAGCAAGAGAGACGGAGAGGUAGAAGAGUUCUCCGGCAGCGUGACGGCGCUCCGGAGGUUGGNNNNNNNNNNNNNNNNNNNUCGCGUUCAGCAUACGUACAGCUCGACGAUGAUCUCGGCCUUCUUGAUCCAGCAAGAGAGACGAAGAGGUAGAAGAGUUCUCCGGCAGCGUGACGGCGCUCCGGAGGUUGGUGAUGACCUUGUCUCAGCAGGGCUCCGCCCCGAGCUCCGCAGAAACGCAAUCUAGAGGAAGAACCGUGGAGGUAUGUGGUCGGGCUGCCGUGGAAAGUCGUCUCAAAUCAGCCCUAAAACCUCCGUAUAUAUAGGUGGGAGNNNNNNNNNNNNNNNNNNNNNNNNNNNNNNNNNNNNNNNNNNNNNNNNNNNNNNNNNNNNNNNNNNNNNNNNNNNNNNNNNNNNNNNNNNNNNNNNNNNNGAACAAGGUGUUGUUGCUUGAUAACUGGAUCACGUCAUUAGGAGAAUCACGUGAUGGACUAGACCCAAACUAAUAGACGUAGCAUGUUGAUCGUGUCGUUUUGUUGCUACUGUUUUCUGCGUGUCAAGUAUUUGUUCCUAUGACCANNNNNNNNNNUGUGGAUACAUAGACAAAACACUGUCCCUAGCAAGCCUCUAGUUGGCUAGCCAGUUGAUCAAAGAUAGUCAGUGUCUUCUGAUUAUGAACAAGGUGUUGUUGCUUGAUAACUGGAUCACGUCAUUAGGAGAAUCCCGUGAUGGACUAGACCCAAACUAAUAGACGUAGCAUGUUGAUCGUGUCAUUUUGUUGCUACNNNNNNNNNNUGAGAUCAUAUAACUCACUAACGCCGGAGGAAUACUUUGUGUGUAUCAAACAUCGCAACGUAACUGGGUGACUAUAAAGAUGCUCUACAGGUAUCUCCGAAGGUGUUGUUGAGUUAGUAUGGAUCAAGACUGGGAUUUGUCACUCCGUGUGACGGAGAGGUAUCUCGGGGCCCACUCGGUAAUACAACAUCACACACAAGCCUUGCAAGCAAUGUGACNNNNNNNNNNNNNNNNNNNNNNNNNNNNNNNNNNNNNNNNNNNNNNNNNNNNNNNNNNNNNNNNNNNNNNNNNNNNNNNNNNNNNNNNNNNNNNNNNNNNGUCACAUUGCUUGCAAGGCUUGUGUGUGAUGUUGUAUUACCGAGUGGGUCCCGAGAUACCUCUCCGUCACACGGAGUGACAAAUCCCAGUCUCGAUCCAUACUAACUCAACUAACACCUUCGGAGAUACCUGUAGAGCAUCUUUAUAGUCACCCAGUUACGUUGCGACGUUUGAUACACAUAAAGCAUUCCUCCGGUGUCAGUGAGUUAUAUGAUCUCAUGGUUAUAGGAACAAAUACUUGAUACGCAGAAAACAGUAGCAACAAAAUGACACGAUCAACAUGCUACGUCUNNNNNNNNNNUUAGUCCAUCACAUGAUUCUCCUAAUGAUGUGAUCCCGUUAUCAAGUAACAACACUUGCCUAUGGCCAGGAAACCUUGGCCAUCUUUGAUCAACGAGCUAGUCAACUAGAGGCUUACUAGGGACAGUGUUUUGUCUAUGUAUCCACACAAAUAUUAUGUUUCCAAUCAAUACAAUUAUAGCAUGGAUAAUAAACGAUUAUCAUGAACAAAGAAAUAUAAUAAUAACUAAUUAUUAUUGCCUCUAGGGCAUAUUUCCAACAGAUAAUAAACACAUAAUUGUAUGGUGUCUGCUUUUAUCCAAAUCACUAGAAGCAAAAUCUUAAUCCAUGUACCGAACGAGUCAUCAAAGAUAGAAAGGAACGUUGAACAUCGUAUUUGCAAUAUUUCCAGUAUUAUAGAUGUAGAAACCAGCAUUGUUAAUCAAGGUUUUUCUUUAAAGUGUAUUUCUCCCUUCAAAAUACCAUCCAUCUAAUUUGUUAAAGUAUGGAACUCUCGCCCAGAGCCGCGGAACUCAUGACUCUAUUAGAAAGUAGAAUGACCAACUUUUACAUGAAUUUUCAAGUGGAUGAGAUCAGUCGAAUGGUCUCUGUUCGAGAUGGGAUAGUAUGUGUUUAUGGACUGAACGAGAUUCAAAGCAGGAGAAAUGAUGGAAUUUGCCAGCGGUGCAAAAGGAAUCAUUUUUAAUCUUGAGAAUGAGAGUAGGUAUUGUUAUCUUUGGUAGUAAUACCACUAUUAAAGGACAUAUUGUCAAACACACUAGAUCUAGUGUGGAUGUACCUACGGUUGAGAAACUAGAGAACCAGAAACACAAGCUUUCUAGGAAAGAUACUUCAAAACGAAUAACAUUUCUUCGAAGCAAGAUUGCAGGAUCAGCCUAACUGAGUAAACAUUGAGACGAGUUUCUUGUCUAGAAAUCUGUGCCAUCAAGAAAAAUUCUUGAAGGUUCUUCUACCCUCCACAAAAUGUACCGGGACACCAAAGCUCGUGCGCAAAUUGUCUUCAAAAUCAAACCAAGCCUGAGCGUUGAGGUCCGAAAGUGUCAUGAUUGAAAACCCGAAACACAAUGGGUCGGUAUGGUGCCUAUAGCUGCCGGAGUGUCCGCGAGAGGGAAAGGGGUGGUUGACGCGACCGGGGCGUGGUCAGCACCAGGGGGUCAGUGGUCGCCGCCGGUGAGGGGCUGAUUACGCAGAUGCUAGCAUGGGGCUAGGGGCUAGUACAGCUCGCGCCGAGUGUACUUACAUGUUUGUCAUGUAGUUCAAAUAUCAUAUUGAAGUAAAUUAUAAAUUUUGGCAUUCUACUUACUGUGUAAGUUCAACACACGAUUUUACCAUACAUACAUAGGGAGGUACAUUUCUUAUUCAUUGAUUUUUUUACAAGAGUUAUAAAUAGAUACUCAUUGCAUAUUUUAUUUGGAGUACGGACGUCAGAAAAAAAUCCUACAUCCGCAGUCUAAUUAAUGAACAUCAUGUUCAUUGCCCUUUGCCCUGGCAGGCCCGACGCAAAGGCACCGGAGGGUCGGAGAGAGCGCCGUCCACGAUCUGGUCGAAGAUAAACUUGUAAGCCGCUUCGGUCAAGUGCACCCCAUCCCAGCUCACGCUCUUGGACGGGUCCACGCACGACUUCCCCCCCAGGACCGGAUCGCCACACCGGAUGUUCUUGUCGAAGUUGUAUUGGCCGCCGCCGUACCCGCAGCACACGCGCAGAGGAUCCCCAAAACCGAACUUUUUGGCUUCGCUCAUCAGCUUGUACAUGGCGGCGUACAGGUCGACGUAGGUGAAGGCGGCCUCUGGGAGAGCGACCCUAAGCCUCGCCACGACCUCCUUGAGCCGGGCGUUGAAGAACCGGGGGCCGGCGUUGAGCGCGAUGGAGCAGCCGGCGUCAUCCUUCUCUCCGGCAAGGUCCGGUCGGUAGACCAGGCCGUAGGGGAGGCACCCGAACGUCCCCGUGUUGUGCACCCAGAAGUACCUCCCGCCGAGGUUGUACACCGUCUGGAUCGCCGACUCGAGCCUCUCCAUCAGAUCGGGGACGUAGGCUUCCACUUGCUCCGUGGUCAUGUUGUCUAGGUAGCCCAUGGCGAGGUCGUUGGCGCCGAUUUUGAAGGUGUAAAGCGCCUUGGAGACCAGGUGCUCGGGGUUCGGCAGGAUCUCCCGGUAGACUCCGCCUACGUUGUUGUAGAUGUGCGAUAACUAUGUCACAUCUAAAUGUGUCCUAAACACACCCUUGCUAAAAAUACAUCCAGGAGCUGCAUUUAAGUUUGAUUUUCACCUAUGUUGUUGUAGACGAAGCGGCUCCUGNNNNNNNNNNGCUGCACGUCCAGGGAAAUGGGGCUGUACCCGGAGGUCCACAGGCUCCCGUUCACCCGUCUGAUGGUUCCGGCGGCGCUCGCGAAAUUGGCUCCCUGCGUGAAGUUGCUCCCUAGUGAAUCCAGGUACGCAUUCAGGUAACGUAGCCCCAGGUUUUGAGCUGCGAUACGUCGUACGUGUUAGGAAAAAUAAAAAAUCUCUAGUUUUGAGUUGUUUGUGCAGGAAAGAAAAAACUCUAAAUCCAUCCUAGUUUUGAGUUGUAGAUAAAUGUCAUGAGUACCCAUGAAGUCGAUGACGAGGCGGCCGUCGCUCUGCCGCCCGGCCGGCAUGCCGAAGAAGGUCUGGCCGUAGGGCGGCUGCACCGCCGGGAAGNNNNNNNNNNGAGGAGUCGCCGAAGUUGAAGAUGGCCGGGAAGCCGCACGGGGAAUCUUCGGAGCGCACCAUUUCUAGUACCACCAGCAACACCACGAACGUGAUCAGUUUGUUGGUGGCCAUGGUGGUGCGACGGCGAGCUGAAAUCAUUUCCGACCUCUCGACCGUGUGCCGUGACGGUGAAGCUGCUUGAAGUGGAUUUAUACACGCCGGCACCGAGGUCGUCACAGUCGAGCACCCGUGUUGGACUGGCGGUCUCCGACGUGAUCCUAAAGAGAUGGAAUAGCUACGUUUUGUUGACAACUAGUAUUAAGCGGCUGAUUUCCAUGCACCACCCUCCAUAGACCAACGGGUCAUCACCGUUUGCGUGGCACCUUAGGACAAGCAACAAGGCGUGCUUGACCCUUGAUUACUCUCUAGCACUACAGUAUCUUGACGUUUAGUUCCAUGGUGACGUGGCCAAGAUGCAUUCAUUUCUGCGAGAAAUAAUUAUGGACUGAUGAAAUAUCUUCUGUACAAUAUUUGAGUAGCGACACGUGUCGGAGUGGGAACAAGUGAAGGCGAUGGAUUCGGGGGCGGCGAUCAACUCGAUGCUGCAGACUGAAGAACGAUCAGGAUGCAUGAAGUCCUUUUGCGUUUGUCUUUCAAACUAUGCUCUCGUUUCGCAUGCGGAUUAUGCUUUAUUGUUUAAAUUCGAACUCAUUUGCCGAAAUCGCUGUCAAAUUCCAACUAUGUUCUAUUGCGUGGUUUUUCGGUUUGCGGGUCGCCGCGGUGGCACCCGAGCACACACCACAUUGACAACCCGUAUAAUAGCAUUUUUUUGCGAAUAUGCUUUAUACGGCUCCGUUUUGGGGGGUCCACCUCUGUCCGCACCCGCGCCGCCCGCAAGAUCCAUUUUUCACGAACUGUAAACGAUUUUUGCGGGUCGAAAUUAUACGGGGUCUGCUAGAAAUGCCCUUAUGAUCAUGUUGGAGCACCAGCCCAAAACGGAUGAUGGACUCCGACGACUUGACGGUGCCGGCGUGUAUGAAUCCUGACGGCCAGUGCCAUUCUCAAAAGGACAAAAGAAGAAAAAAAGGACCAGUCCAGUAGUAAUGCAUGUGGUACUUCAUGUUCUGGAUGGAUGCUGGACUUGACUUGCCGGCCGGCCUGUAUAAACCACAAAUCAUUUUCCCUGCAGCUUCACCGUCACGGGCACCGGACGAGCGGCGGGAAAUGGCUUGAGCUCAUGGUUGAACUACCAUGGCGACCAAUCUCAUGUCCGUCGUGUUGCUAAUGGUGAUAAAGCUCUCUGCUGGGGCGCGCUCUGACGAAUCCCCGUGCAGCUUCCCGGCAAUCUUCAAUCUCGGUGACUCCAACUCGGACAACGGAGCUUUCCCGACCCUCUUUCCGGCUGUGCAGCCGCCCUACGGCCAGACCUUCUUGGGCAAUGGGCAUGCCGGCCGGGCGGCAAAGCGACGGCUGCCUCACCAUCGACUUCCUGGGUACACAUCUAUCUACAACAUCUCAUAGGGAUCGUAUGCAUCGUGCUGCUGCAGAGGUGAUAACCGAUGAUUUUAUUUCCUAACACACGUAACGUACGUAUUGCAGCUCAAGCAUGUUACCUGAGUGCAAUUUACUCAAUAUAACAUGUUUGUCAUGUAGUUCACCAUAGAUAUAUUUCUUAUUCAUAGAUUUUCUACACGAUAUUAUCUCAUUGCAGAUUUUAUUUGGAUUACGGAUACUAGUGCAGAUUUUAUUUGGAGUACGGAUGUCUGGAAAAAUAAUCCUACAUUCAGAAUCUAAUUAAUGAACAUCAUGCGCAUUGCCCUUUGCCCUGGCAGGCCCCACGCAAAGGCACCGGAGGGUCGGAGAGAGCGCCGUCCACGAUCUGGUCGAAGAUGAAUUUGUAAGCCGCCUCUGUCAAGUGCACCCCAUCCCAGCUCACGCUCUUCGAUGGGUCCUCGCAAGACUUCCCCUCUAGGACCGGAUCACCGCACCGGAUGUUCUUGUCGAAGUUGUACUGGCCGCCGCCGUACCCGCAACACACACGCAGAGGAUCCCCAAAACCGAACUUUUUGGCUUCGCUCAUCAACUUGUACGUGGCGGCGUACACGUCGACGUAGGUGAAGGCGGCCUCGGGGAGAGCCACCCUGAGCCUCGCCACGGUCUCCUUGAGCCGCGCAUUGAAGAACUGGGGGCCGGCGUUGAGCGCGACAGAGCAGCCGGCGUCGUCCUUCUCCGCGGCGAGGUCAGGGCGGUAGACCAGGGCGUAGGGGAGGCACCCGAGCGUCCCCGUGUUGUGCACCCAGAAGUACCUCCCGCCAUGGUUGUACACCGUCUGGAUCGCCGACGCGAGCCUCUCCAUUAGAUCGGGGACGUAGGCCUCCACUUGGGCCGUGGUCAUGUUUUCUAGGUAGCCCAUGGCGAGGUCGUUGGCGCCGAUGUCGAAGGUGUAAAGCGCCUUGGAGACCAGGUGAUCUGGUUUGGGCAAGAUCGCUCGGUAGAUUCCACCUGCGUCGAUAUCGAGGAACCUCCGGUAAGAAAUUGCUAAAAGACAUCUAGAUGUGAGAUAACUAUUGCACAUCUAAGUCCUAUGUGAUUGACCUUACGUCGAGAUUCGUGUGAGUAUCUUUUUUACUUUUUACUUUUUUUUAUGCUUGAUUUAGCAUUUUAGAUGUGCGAUAAUUAUGUCACAUCUAGAUGUGUCCUAGACACACCCUUGCUACAAAAUAUAUAUCGAGGAGCUGGAUUUAAGUUUGAUUUUCACCUAUGUUGUUGUAGACGAAGCGGCUCCUGUUGAUGAACUGCUGGAAUUGCCAGAUCUGCACGUCCAAGGAAAUGGGGCUGUAUCCGGAGGUCCACAAGCUCCCGUUCACUCGUCUGAUAGUUCCAGCGGCGCUCGCGAAAUUGGCUCCCUGCGUGAAGUUGCUCCCUAGCGAAUCCAGAUACGCAUUCAGGUAACGCAGCCCCAGGCUUUGAGCUGCGGCACAUACGUGUCAGGGAAACAAUAUAGAAAAUCUCCAGUUUUGAGAUGUUGUAGGUAGAUGUGUGUACCCAUGAAGUCGAUGGUGAGGCGGCCGUCGCUCUGCCUCCCGGCUGGCAUGCCGAAGAAGGUCUGGCCGUAGGGCGGCUGCACCGCCGGGAAGNNNNNNNNNNUAGGAGUCGCCGAAGUUGAAGAUCGCCGGGAAGUCGCACGGAGAUUCAUCGGAGCGCACCCUCUCUAGUACCACCAGCAACACGACGAACGUGAUGAGUUUGCUGGUCGCCAUGGUGGUGCGGCGGCGAGCUCUCGGCCGGUGUCCCUGACGGUGAAGCGGCUGGGAGAGGAUUUAUAAUACACGCCGGCACCAGCAGGUCGUCAGAGUCCAGCACCCGUGUUGGACUGGCGGUUGGAAUAGCUACGUUUUGUUGAUAAG